rnacentral:rRNA from 1 species
UACGAAGGGUGCAAACGUUGCUCGGAAUUAUUGGGCGUAAAGCGCACGUAGGCGGCUUUGCAAGUCCGAUGUGAAAUCCCUCGGCUCAACCGAGGAACUGCGUCCGAUACUGGCAGGCUGGAAUCCGGGAGAGGGAUGUGGAAUUCCAGGUGUAGCGGUGAAAUGCGUAGAUAUCUGGAGGAACACCGGUGGCGAAGGCGGCAUCCUGGACCAGUAUGACGCUG